rnacentral:lncRNA from 1 species
UCUUAAUGUUCCGACUAAGUUGGACCAAAAGGAGUGCAGGCUUUCAGCAGCACAUAGGAACAAAAUUAUUAGAACAUUGUAUGAAAACAUGUCUCAUUACAAGACGUCUUCAACUAAUGAAGAGUAUGUUCAAAUGGCUAAGGGCCUGAUUCUGAGGUACCCCUUUUUAAAAGACAUGGAUAUCACAAAUGGUGCAUGUCUCUGAAACGCAAGUUUAAAUGUGAGGAUGUUGAAGAAGGAAAAAGACUACAAGAUUACCUGCCUUUGGAAAUUGAUGUUGUUGGAGAGAAUGUUACAUCAAUAAUGGGACAGGUAAAGUCCUGCAAGACCAGUACAGAAGGACACAGCCAGAUACUCGCUUUGUUGAAGAGUGAAUAA